GCUUUGCACUCCUACGGGAGGCAGCAGUGGGGAAUAUUGCACAAUGGGCGCAAGCCUGAUGCAGCCAUGCCGCGUGUAUGAAGAAGGCCUUCGGGUUGUAAAGUACUUUCAGCAGUGAGGAAGGCGGGUACGUUAAUAGCGUGCUUGUUUGACGUUAGCUGCAGAAGAAGCACCGGCUAACUCCGUGCCAGCAGCCGCGGUAAUACGGAGGGUGCGAGCGUUAAUCGGAAUUACUGGGCGUAAAGCGCAUGCAGGUGGUUUGUUAAGUCAGAUGUGAAAGCCCGGGGCUCAACCUCGGAAUAGCAUUUGAAACUGGCAGACUAGAGUACUGUAGAGGGGGUAGAAUUUCAGGUGUAGCGGUGAAAAUGCGUAGAGAUCUGAAGGAAUACCGGUGGCGAAGGCGGCCCCCUGGACAGAUACUGACACUCAGAUGCGAAAGCGUGGGGAGCAAACAGGAUUAGAUACCCUGGUAG
rnacentral:rRNA from 1 species